rnacentral:rRNA from 1 species
UACGAAGGAUCCAAGCGUUGUCCGGAUUUAUUGGGUUUAAAGGGUGCGUAGGCGGUCUUUUAAGUCAGUGCUGAAAUACUCCAGCUUAACUGGAGGGGUGGCAUUGAUACUGGAAGACUUGAGUGUAGUCGAGGUAGGCGGAAUUGACGGUGUAGCGGUGAAAUGCUUAGAUAUCGUCAAGAACACCGAUAGUGAAGACAGCUUACUAGGCUACAACUGACGCUGAGGCACGAAAGUGUGGGGAUCAAACAGG